UACAGAGGUGACAAGCGUUAGGCGGAAUCACUGGGCUUAAAGCGCGCGUAGGCGGAUGUUUACGUGUCUUGUGAAAUCCCACGGCUCAACCGUGGAACUGCUGGGCAUACUGGACAUCUCGAGGCACUCAGGGGCGAGCGGAACAAGUGGUGGAGCGGUGAAAUGCGUAGAUAUCACUUGGAACGCCAAUGGUGAAGACAGCUCGCUGGGGGUGUCCUGACGCUGAGGCGCGAAAGCCAGGGGAGCGAACGGG
rnacentral:rRNA from 1 species